rnacentral:rRNA from 1 species
AUUGAACGCUGGCGACAGGCCUAACACAUGCAAGUCGAGCGGAUGAAGGGAGCCUGCUCCUGGAUUCAGCGGCGGACGGGUGAGUAAUGCCUAGGAAUCUGCCUGGUAGUGGGGGAUAACGUCCGGAAACGGGCGCUAAUACCGCAUACGUCCUGAGGGAGAAAGUGGGGGAUCUUCGGACCUCACGCUAUCAGAUGAGCCUAGGUCGGAUUAGCUAGUUGGUGGGGUAAAGGCCUACCAAGGCGACGAUCCGUAACUGGUCUGAGAGGAUGAUCAGUCACACUGGAACUGAGACACGGUCCAGACUCCUACGGGAGGCAGCAGUGGGGAAUAUUGGACAAUGGGCGAAAGCCUGAUCCAGCCAUGCCGCGUGUGUGAAGAAGGUCUUCGGAUUGUAAAGCACUUUAAGUUGGGAGGAAGGGCAGUAAGUUAAUACCUUGCUGUUUUGACGUUACCAACAGAAUAAGCACCGGCUAACUUCGUG